UCUGUGAUAUCCUCUCCUUAGUUUGAACAUGAAAUGUCUUUGACGUUGCUGAUGAUAUAACUGUCUCUUUCGCAGGUAUGUGAUGUGACUGACUACACGCGAGUCACUCACCAAAUGACUGCCAACGUAGCCUCAGCACUGUAGAGUCUGCUAUACCGAAGUAGCACAGAUGAACAGCAGUGUGAAUUCUGGCUGGACAGUUGCGAUAACAACUCAUCAUCAUUGGAUUACAAGAGCCCACCAGCAUAACAAGGGUAAAGGCAGAGUGCUACAGAAAAAGAUCUUAAAGGUAUGGAACAGCCUCUCAAAUGAUCUAAGAAGUGUAAAAAAACUGUUCUGCAGUCUGUUGCUAACAUGGGAAAGCAGUAUUU